UCUUACGGGAUCCAAAUCGAGCGAUCCUUUUAGCAUCUAAGUAACUGCGCUCACAUCAAGACAUAACCGCGGUACCCAGCACCUUCGUUGAUUUUUCUCAUCAGCCACAGAGGACAUUAAUUGCUCUCUCUCUCACACAUCUAGAUCGGAGAGUUGAGGUCGCCGGAGAGUUGUGGUCACCGGCAACUACCGCAGCCAUGCCCUGCAACCAGCACCGCUGCCUCCCUCGGCUCGCCUCGUCGCCUCCCCCCGGCUCGCCUCGCCUCUCAUUCCCCCUCCGGCGGGGAGGACGCCCACCUCGACCACUAGCUGCGGUGCCCAUUCUCCAUGGCGCGCCGCGGGAGGACGCCCAACUCCGCUUCCGCGGAAGCCCCGAGCGCCUCCUCUUACGCGCCGGCGGAGCUGUCGGGCGCCGGUGGCAGCUGGGCUUCCUGCAGCGCGAGGGCGUCGACGUUGUGCGCUGCCAUCGGAUGCAGCAGAGCCGGAUCGAACUUGGUCUCGGCCAGUUCUAGGCCGCGUUCUGCUGGCCGUUGAAGCCGGGCGCCGCCCCUGACCCGGAGGCCAUGUAAUUGAACGGGUCGCCCCAGACGGCGCCUCUAGCGCCGGUGUCGGCGAGCGGGUGGUUGCGUCGGUCAUAGAUCCCCAUAGGCGCCGUCGCUGAGGGCACGGGCAUGUACCUGCUGCCGGGGCUGCCGACCCUCUGCUCAGUCGUCGCCAAAUUAAACAGCAGUUCAUGCAAGGAAAUGUGGUCAUCAUAUAAGACAGGGAUCUGCACUUCGAUUUUGAUUAGCCCCAAGAUUUGUUACAUGCAGGCACUUCUAUACAUGUGCAACAGUUUGUUAUAUCAGGUUAUUUUUGGAAGUUCUGGUGAUACAACUAUGACAGACCUUGGGUAUAGUUAAUCCUGAGCUUAAUUAGGUGUCGAAGAUAUACACAGCAUGAGUAAAGUUUAGCUUGGUCGGGUUUUGCACAACACAUUGGAUGGAUCUUUGUAUAGCCUGCCUCUUCUUUUCUAUUUGCUUAAUGGCAUGUAAUUAAGAAUCGUUCUCAUUUGUAUUGGCUUGUAGUAGUACAACUUUAAACUUUGGAUAA